rnacentral:rRNA from 1 species
UACCUGCAGCUCAAGUAGUGACCGCUAUUAUUGGGCCUAAAACGUUCGUAGCCGGUUUGGUAAAUGCCUGGGUAAAUAGUGUAGCUUAACUAUACGAAUUCCGGGUAGACUGCCAAACUUGAGACCGGGAGAGGCUAGAGGUACUCCUGGGGUAGAGGUGAAAUUCUGUAAUCCUGAGGGGACCACCAGUGGCGAAGGCGUCUAGCUAGAACGGGUCUGACGGUGAGGGACGAAGCCCUGGGGCGCAAACCGGAUUAGAUACCCGGGUAGUCCAGGGUGUAAACGCUGCUUGCUUGAUGUUAGUUGGGCUCCGAGCCCAAUUAGUGUCGGAGAGAAGUUGUUAAGCAAGCUGCCUGGGAAGUACGAUCGCAAGAUUGAAACUUAAAGGAAUUGGCGGGGAGCACAGCAACGGGUGGAGCGUGCGGUUU